GAUGUGGUAGCCAAACGGCAAGGCAUAUCUCCGCAAGAGAUAUUUAGCAGGUUCAAUUCCUGCCCACAUCU
rfam:Parcubacteria bacterium GW2011_GWC2_42_6 TV36_C0022, whole genome shotgun sequence.